rnacentral:rRNA from 1 species
UCCUACGGGGCGCAGCAGUGGGGAAUAUUGGCCAAUGGGGGGAACCCUGAUCCAGCGACGCCGCGUGAGUGAAGAAGUAUUUCGGUAUGUAAAGCUCUAUCAGCAGGGAAGAAAGAAAUGACGGUACCUGACUAAGAAGCCCCGGCUAACUACGUGCCAGCAGCCGCGGUAAUACGUAGGGGGCAAGCGUUAUCCGGAUUUACUGGGUGUAAAGGGAGCGUAGACGGCAGUGCAAGGCUGGAGUGAAAGGCAAGGGCUCAAUCCUUGGACUGCUUUGGA